rnacentral:rRNA from 1 species
UACGAAGGGUGCAAACGUUGCUCGGAAUUAUUGGGCGUAAAGAGCUCGUAGGCGGUCUGUCACGUCGGCUGUGAAAACCCGGGGCUCAACCCCGGGCCUGCAGUCGAUACGGGCAGACUAGAGUGCGGUAGGGGAGACUGGAAUUCCUGGUGUAGCGGUGAAAUGCGCAGAUAUCAGGAGGAACACCGAUGGCGAAGGCAGAUCUCUGGGCCGUAACUGACGCUGAGGAGCGAAAGCGUGGGGAGCGAACAGG